CGCUGGCGGCAUGCCUAAUACAUGCAAGUCGAGCGAACAGAUGAAGUGCUUGCACUUCUGACGUUAGCGGCGAACGGGUGAGUAACACGUAAGGAAUCUACCUAUAAGCGGGGGAUAACAUUCGGAAACGGGUGCUAAUACCGCAUAAUAUCUUCUUCCGCAUGGAAGAAGAUUGAAAGACGGCUCUGCUGUCACUUAUAGAUGACCUUGCGGUGCAUUAGUUAGUUGGUGGGGUAACGGCCUACCAAGACGAUGAUGCAUAGCCGACCUGAGAGGGUGAUCGGCCACAUUGGGACUGAGACACGGCCCAAACUCCUACGGGAGGCAGCAGUAGGGAAUCUUCCGCAAUGGGCGAAAGCCUGACGGAGCAAUGCCGCGUGAGUGAGGAAGGCCUUCGGGUCGUAAAACUCUGUUAUAAGAGAAGAACAAAUUGUAGAGUAACUGCUACAGUCUUGACGGUAUCUUAUCAGAAAGCCACGGCUAACUACGUGCCAGCAGCCGCGGUAAUACGUAGGUGGCAAGCGUUGUCCGGAUUUAUUGGGCGUAAAGGGAGCGCAGGUGGUUUCUUAAGUCUGAUGUGAAAGCCCACGGCUUAACCGUGGAGGGUCAUUGGAAACUGGGAAACUUGAGUACAGAAGAGGAAUGUGGAACUCCAUGUGUAGCGGUGGAAUGCGCAGAUAUAUGGAAGAACACCAGUGGCGAAGGCGACAUUCUGGUCUGUUACUGACACUGAGGCUCGAAAGCGUGGGGAGCAAACAGGAUUAGAUACCCUGGUAGUCC
rnacentral:rRNA from 1 species